CAGCCGCCGCGGUAAUACGUAGGUGGCAAGCGUUGUCCGGAAUUAUUGGGCGUAAAGGGCUCGCAGGCGGUUUCUUAAGUCUGACGUGAAAGCCCCCGGCUCAACCGGGGAGGGUCAUUGGAAACUGGGAAACUUGAGUGCAGAAGAGGAGAGUGGAAUUCCACGUGUAGCGGUGAAAUGCGUAGAGAUGUGGAGGAACACCAGUGGCGAAGGCGACCCUCUGGUCUGUAACUGACGCUGAGGAGCGAAAGCGGGGGGAGCGAACAGGAUUAGAUACCCCAGUAGUCCCUGUCUCUUAUAC
rnacentral:rRNA from 1 species